rnacentral:pre_miRNA from 1 species
UUGAUACUCCCUCCGUCCGGAAAUACUUGUCAUCAAAAUGAACAAAAGGGGAUGUAUCUAGACGUAUUUUAGUUCUAGAUACAUCCCCUUUUAUCCAUUUUGAUGACAAGUAUUUUCGGACGGAGGGAGUAUAUG